rnacentral:misc_RNA from 1 species
GUUGGUGAACCAGCGGAGGGAUCAUUACAGAGUUGCAAAACUCCCAACCCUUUGUGAACGAACCUACCAGUUGCCUCGGCGGCGAGCCUUUCAGGCGGACCGCCGGAGGAAUACAAACUCUUUGCAUUUUAACAUCUCUGAUUACUUAUUCAAUAAGUUAAAACUUUCAACAACGGAUCUCUUGGUUCUG